GUGACGAGCGGCGGACGGGUGAGUAAUGUCUGGGAAACUGCCUGAUGGAGGGGGAUAACUACUGGAAACGGUAGCUAAUACCGCAUAACGUCGCAAGACCAAAGAGGGGGACCUUCGGGCCUCUUGCCAUCAGAUGUGCCCAGAUGGGAUUAGCUAGUAGGUGGGGUAACGGCUCACCUAGGCGACGAUCCCUAGCUGGUCUGAGAGGAUGACCAGCCACACUGGAACUGAGACACGGUCCAGACUCCUACGGGAGGCAGCAGUGGGGAAUAUUGCACAAUGGGCGCAAGCCUGAUGCAGCCAUGCCGCGUGUAUGAAGAAGGCCUUCGGGUUGUAAAGUACUUUCAGCGGGGAGGAAGGCGAUGAGGUUAAUAACCUCGUCGAUUGACGUUACCCGCAGAAGAAGCACCGGCUAACUCCGUGCCAGCAGCCGCGGUAAUACGGAGGGUGCAAGCGUUAAUCGGAAUUACUGGGCGUAAAGCGCACGCAGGCGGUCUGUCAAGUCGGAUGUGAAAUCCCCGGGCUCAACCUGGGAACUGCAUUCGAAACUGGCAGGCUAGAGUCUUGUAGAGGGGGGUAGAAUUCCAGGUGUAGCGGUGAAAUGCGUAGAGAUCUGGAGGAAUACCGGUGGCGAAGGCGGCCCCCUGGACAAAGACUGACGCUCAG
rnacentral:rRNA from 1 species